UGAAGGGGGGGAGGGAAAAAGUGGAGGGAAAAAGUGGGCGGAGGCAAAGAACGGGUCAGGUACACAACGAGCGAUAGGAACCUGGGAGGCUGCUUUCAGUGACGUCUCAUAGCAGCGCGAAAACCAGACGCCACGGUCCCACCAGCCCAGCCUUGGCACCUGGAGCAGCCGCACACACCAGCGCACCUUUAGUGCCAGCACAGCUGCUCCUUACCGCACCGCGCCGGGGCGGCGAGUGGGGCCCGGGGCCCGGGGCCCCGGCCCACCGCCCAACUCCCCCGGACCCGGGCGCUGAGUGCGCCUGUCCCUCCCCUGAGAAGGACGUGGACCUGAGGGGCCACAGCAGCUCGGCACAGCCCCGCGACUGGAUGAGCUUCAAAGGCCCGCUCUGCUCCCCGCGGAGGGGAGAGCGGCGGGCUACGCGCUUAAAGACGCAGACGCCAUCCACCUCUCACGCACAACCUGCGCCAACACGCCCAUCCCAGAGUCACACAGACUAUCAGCCAAUGCACACUGGCAGGCGCAGACAGGGAGCACACACACACAUCCCCGUGCCAUAUUUAUCAAAACGAAACCACAACGAAAUGCACAAAACCUGCAGGCCAUACAACCUAGUCUCAAUCAAAGCACAAAUACUGUGCCAAAAUACAAAUAUCUAUACACUCACCCUGGUUCUCUCUUACCUAUAAUGUGUGUACAUGUUUAUUCGUGAGUGCACACCAGUGUGAGGGAAUGUGUGUUCUAUCUUUGUGUGUGUGUGCGUGUGUGUGCACGCGUGUGUGUAUGUGUGUGUGUAAUGCUGACAGGACCUUCAGCCUCAGUCUGGGUCAGCAGUUUGUUUAGCAUCAAUUAGAGCCUCUGUCUUCCUCAACGCAAGCGUGAAGGGAGAAUUAACAUGCAGUGGCAGAUUCCCACCAACGUGUUAUUACACAGAGUACCUCAUCUGGAACAGGGGAAGUGUGUGUGUGCGUGUGUGUGUGUGCAUGACUACAAAUGAAAGUGAGAGAAAAGGCUAUGGGUCAGAACAAAUGUUUGUGCAACCAUUUUGCUUUAUUUUAUAGUUAGUGUUUUAUAAGAUGAGAUUUCAUAUAUUCAAUUGAUCUUGCAUUUGCCCACAUCAUGCACCUAUACAGAUUUGCAGGUUCUACUUUAUUAGCUUACCUGAGGUAACUGGAAUACGUCACUAACAUCAGUCAUUUUUAUUGACCUACUUUCAUCAGUCCAGGGUGAAGGUGACACCUGGGUAAUUUUCACUGACCUCAUCAGCAAGUUUUCUUGCCCAUUACGGAAAGCAAUUAUAGAAAACCUCAUUACCGUUCAAGUCCAAGGGAAAUCAACGUCUUGAUACUUUUAUCCAAAAUCUGUUGUUUCACAACACUGACUGAGACUUUCAGAGGGUGUUCACAAUCUUAUUACAGAAGAAAAAACAUGGAAUAACUAAUGGUCAUUUUGUGAAUAGAUACUCUCACUGCAAUAACAGAGGAGUGCAUUUUGACAUGGAGUGUGAAAGUCUAAAAAUAUCAGAAGUACCAAACUAAAGAUUACAUACAGUAAGCUGAAAUCCUGAAGGUGUUUUAACAACCUUUAGAAAGAUACACCAAGUUACAAAAAAUCUAGCUGGAUGAGUCUUGAAAAAAAUUCAAUUCAGAAAUUGUGUUACUCUUCAUUCUUAUUAUGCCUUGCCCAUUUCCUCUAAAAGGAACACAUCCCAAUAGUUCUUUAAUUGCUUAAUUUUCUACUCCAAAAAAGGGUCACAUUUAUCAAUAAAGUUUACUGAAAGUGUAAA